UCUGUACAUGAAGAGAGGUAGGAAGUCCUCUUCCUUUUUUUGGGUGGAACAGCUAGGCCCCUCCAGUUCUCAACUGCAUCCCCAUCAGCCGGAAAAAUGUUUGUGGUAGCAUCAGAUCCCACAAAUGGAACAAAUCCGCAUAUUUCCCUCGAUGAAGGAAAGAUGACGAGCAAUGAAGCGAUCGACUCGAAGAGGCAAGUUGUCAUGUUUGAAAAGGCCAUGUUUUAUGUUUUUGAAAUCAGCUUCAACAGUGGCUGAACUUGCUGUGAUGCUGGUGCUUUGGAAGAGAGGGACCAUUAUUCCUGUCCAGAGUGGCAAGUAACUUGCCAGUCUUAUUAUAUGAGGAAUAAUCUCAGGGAGAAAGUGAAUAUUAUCUCUAUCCCCAUUUGCUGCAGCAAGUGACCUGCUCUCCUCACAUAUUUCUGUUACCCACUGUCGUAGGUCAGUCUGGAUCUCAUCCACUGAAUCCACUCUCUCACUUUCCUCCGUCUGUUCAUCUGGAAUGAUGAUGGAGUCUUGAGAAAUUUGGGCUUUCAAGUAUUUCUUGCACCUUUCUGAAGGAAGAGGUGCUCCAGAACUGUCAUCACCUUCUGCCUCACUGAGGGCCACAACAGUGAUAGCAUGCAAUCCCACUGGCAUAUCAUCUUGAUGCAGUGCGCAACAUCAACCCUGAUAUAACAAGGGGGGAGUUUGGCAGACUGGGUUCCAAGAAGGACAUGAAAGCAUUCAUUAAGUAGUGACAGAAAAACUUGUCCAGUCCAAUAUCUCGGAUGCUACCACUAGUGGCCAAAUUUGGAAGGUGGCUUGGCUCAGGAUCUCCAACAUCCAUCAGAUCUGCUGCCCUCGCUGACCUCCAUACAGCCGGUUCCAUUCUGCCCUCACACAGCUCUUUAGCGAUCUGUUCACGCAGGUUUCCAGACAUGAACCGCUUGGAGUGGCCAGUGUGCAGGGAGAAAUCUGUAUUUCUCAUGAAACACUGGAGCACCAUUGGACUAUUAAUUGCUGGCUGUCUGUCACAUGACAUUUCUAACUGGCCAUGACACUCCUUACAGUCGCCUCUGAUGUCCAGAUAAUUAUUGUUGACAGUUGGAUGGACCUUUGCUCUACGGAACACAAGUGUACAUGUAUUUUUGAUCUUCUUCCAUAUAAGAUCGUUGAUGAUAUGAGUCCAAGUGCCAGGUUUCAAAAUUGUGUAUUCCCUUUUUAGGGUAGGAGAAAACUUGUCAUUGUAUUCAACCUUUUCAGGAAUAAAUUUAACCCAGUCCUCAAAAGGGACUUCUAGUUCAAAAGCUUGACAGUUUUCUUGUCCAGGAGAAAUGCAAUGUGAAUCUAACUCUCCUUCACUAUUACUUUCCUGAUCACUGAUUUCCAAAGCUGACCAGAUGUUGUGUCUAUUUAGCUUCACAAAAGUGUACAGGGCCUUUGCUGACAUCUUGUCUUCUAGCUGCUGACUCAGCUCUUUCCAGACUGAUGCAGCUGGAGUGGCUAUUUUGCCAUUUUGGACUAUGGCCUCUUUUGAAUUGCAAAGAACUGCAAAAAUGGAAACCUUGUCUACAGAUGGCUUUCGAGGCAUCUAAAAUAAAACACACUAUGAUUAUGAUGGAGCAAAAUGUGAUUUCUGAACUAUAUACACAGCCAGGAGCAACCCCUCCCCCAAGUUCUCCACCAAUCUACACUUUCAUAUUUUGUGGAAUUAUUGUUUUUAAGAUGGAGCUAUUGAAUUUGUGAGUUUAUUAAAUUGAGUCUGAGUAUUUAACCCAUGUACUGUACAGCACUUUAGUCCAGUGUGCUACAUGUUUUAAAGUGCUUUAGAAACUUUUUUCUUGGACAUUUUUGAAAAUGUUUAACAUUGAAAAAAAAUCCUUUUGAUCCAGAUAGUUAGCUAUAUCAUGUAUUAACUCAGUAACUAAAACCUCAGUAUUUUAAAUGUAAGCUUACCUUGUUCAGAAAUCAGAUGAACGCUGUUCUAAGAAUCCUUCAGACACAGUAAUGCCAAAUAAUAGUUUUUUCUGCCAGAAAAUGUGUAUUUGAUGCAAAAGACUGCUAGCUUGUUCGUUUCUCAAAAAGUGUUCAUGGGAGUGUAAAAUGUUCAAAUGUAGUUUUCAAUAAAGUUUUUUUAAUCCACUCUAAAAAAA
ensembl:lncRNA